rnacentral:tRNA from 1 species
GGGCUUGUGGCGCAGUUGGUAGCGCGCCUGCAUGGCAUGCAGGAGGCCGCGGGUUCGAAUCCCGCCAGGUCCA